ACUCAGGUUUGGAUGUCAAAACCUUCCUAAAUAACUGUAAUGUAACAGAUGCAUGGUGAUAUAAGAAAAUAUGUUGUGGAAAAAAAGCAUAUUCACGUAUUUAAAGGGCUUUCUUAGCUCACCUGUGUUUCCUACAUUUCUGUCAGCAGCUCCCUUCAGAUACUUUGACAUUUUGGAGCUUCUCUUCUGUUGUAGAGAGAUUAUAUUCUCAUUCCUGAAACCACAGAAGAAAUUUGAUCAAUAUUUGUUUACCAUGAAAGAUAAAAAUACGUUUGAACUAACGUUAGAUUCAGUUAAUUUGCGCUCCUUGUAAGUGACGUCACCGAUUAACAGUACAGCGCAUAUUUAAUAAGCUAGACAACUUUCAAUAUACCGUGGACAAACUGACAGCAAACCCUUUACAAAGCUAUCAAAACUUCUCAUCUAUACAUAAAGAUGUGAUUAAAAGCCCAAACUCUCAUUAAAAAGAGCUCAAGCUAUAGAGUUAGCUUACCUCACCUAAAAAAAAAAAAACACUUGCGAUGAUAACGGACUCUUUCGAAGUUUUCUAAGUAAAUAUUCAACAGAAAUGUGUCAGUUACAUGUAAGAAACAUGGAAGAGUUGCAUGUGAUAUACAUAUAUGUGAUGAUUUGUGUGAUUUUAGGUAUUAAACUUACCUGAAAGCAGUGAAAACAGCAGCGAGAAAUGGAGAUUUACGGUUUGCAGUUGGUGUUGUUGCCCCGUUUCCAUGGCAACUCCCUCCGCUCCAGCGUUUGAAUGAGAGUCCAGUAUUCAGCGGUUGGCUUGCAUUCUCUACAUUUGGUAAGUUGCACUAACAUGUUGUAACUGUUCAAAGAAUCAUUAAAAGCAAGCCUCUUGUGCUUAGUGUUUAUUAAUCAAAAAAACUCCAGUAGAUCCUUUUAAAUUUAUUAUCUAUUUUAAUGCUGUUUUGUAUGACUCAAAAAAUAAUUAGGAUUGUUAUUUAAGUUUAGUCUAAAAAAAAUACUGCAAUCAUGGUUUAAAAUUAAAUAAAAAGGCAGAGUGGUACAAAAUAUUAAAAUAUUAAAAAUGCCAUUUUGUCCCACUAUCCAUUUUGCACCUAUGCAUUUGUCGUAGAACUACAAAAUAAGAUUCAAAUUCGUGAUUUAAUAAAGAUUUAAUGUGAUUUUAAGUUGUUUAUGUAGUGUUCUAAUUCUAGAGGUUUAUUUAUGCAAAUGCUGCGUGACUUUGACAUGUUUUAAUGGGCGUGAGCGCUGAAUACUGGAGUCUCAUUCAAACGCUGGAGCGGAGGGAGUUGCCAUGGAAACGGGGCGACAACACCAACUGACGAACUUCUCUCUCGCAGCUGUUUUCACUUCUUUCAGAAAACUGUGAAAGAGUCCGUUAGCAUCUCAACUGUUUUCAGACAAGGAGUGAUAAUAUAAUCUCUCUACAACAGAAGAGAAGCUUCAAAAUGUAAAUGUUUCUGAAUGGAGCUGCUGACAGAAAUGUAGGAAACACAGGU
ensembl:lncRNA